GUGAUAAAUUUAACGGCCGCGGUACCCUAACCGUGCGAAGGUAGCAUAAUCACUUGUUCUUUAAAUAGGGACUUGUAUCAACGGCAUCACGAGAGCUGCACUGUCUCCCCCCUCCAAUCAGUGAAACUGAUCUCCCCGUGAAAAAGCGGGGAUAAAAUUAUAAGACGAGAAGACCCCAUGGAGCUUUAAACCCAAUAGCAAUUUAGCAAAAUACUACCACCAAGCUACAUAACCCUGCUAGCGGUUUUAGGUUGGGGUGACCACGGAGUAAAAAUUAACCUCCAUAACGAAAAGACUAAAUCUUAACCCAAAAAUUACUAUUUAAAGUAUUAGAAUACUAACGAACUAUGACCCAAUAUUGAUCAAUGAACCAAGUUACCCUGGGGAUAACAGCGCAAUCUACUUCAAGAGUUCAUAUCGACAGGUAGGCUUACGACCUCGAUGUUGGAUCAGGGUAUCCCAGUGGUGCAGCCGCUACUGAAGGUUCGUUUGUUCAACGAUUAAAACCCU
rnacentral:rRNA from 1 species